UUUCCUUAAAAAAUAACGUGGAAAAUAUAAGAGAAAAAGAGCAGGGAAAAGAGGAGGAAAAUUUUGUCGGCUCUUGUUCACCGAAGCUUCAUCUCUAACUUCCUCUUCGUCAGUGGCUAUGGCUUCUCAAAGUCGUCAAACCCUUUCAACGGCCACCACUAUCACUCCGACCACCUUCGAGUGCCUCUGAAAACCUACCAAUUUCAGGCACUCGAGUUCCCAUUGAUGAAGUGCGUUCUUCAAAUCAAGUUCCCAUGGAUGACGGAUCCAUGUCUUCAAGUCAGACUUAUAAUGAAGAAUGGCAAAGACUUAGAAGAUGGGCUGCAACUUGUGUAGCUAUGUAUGCUGCAUAUGCGGCAAUUCUUGUUUCAGUUUAUCAUCGCUCAAACUAUUUGGAGAGAUCAAUCUCUAAUGAAGGAGAUUAUGAACGACAUGCUUUGAUGGAAAGACUUACACUAAUGGAUAAUGAAGAUUGUUAUAAUCAACUACAUAUGGGAAAGGAUGCAUUCGCAAGACUAGUAAACAUUCUUCGGGGAACAGGUCGUCUUAGAAAUAUUGCACAUAGUAAUGUAGAAGAACAAGUUGCCAAAUUCCUUCACAUUGUUGGUCAUAAUUUAAG